GCUUGGGUUGGCAGUUCUGACUCAGACUAGCUGAUAAAACAUGGGCAGAGGAUGGUUUGCUGGGACUUGUCACAAAAUGCUCCAAGGAAGAAUAUGCUUCUGGACGCACCGAAAGCCAGUCUUCAGGUUCCUUGAGCUGGGGAAAUGUUUCGGAAAAUGUUAAGGGAAAACACAAGAGAAAGAUGAACAGGCGUGGUGGGUCUGGGAUCUCCCUGCAGCCUGGGAGGGUUGGCUCCCAACUGCAUGAGGUCUGGGAGCUGAUAGAUCGUGGAGGGGGGCACCCCAAUGUAGGACCUGAGGGUUUGAAGGGAGCAGAGCAGCGAUUGCGGGCUGCGGGCGUGUGUGAUACGAGGGGGCCAUGCAAAGACCGCUGCCUCCCGCUUUGAUGUCAUUGCUGUCGCUGUUCCAUGAUGGCAUUUCUUAAUUUUUUUAAUGUUUAUUUAUCUUUGAGAGAGACAGAGCACGAGGCGGGGAGGAGCAGAGCGGGAGGGAGACAAAGAAUCCGAAGCAGGCUCCAGGCUCCGAGCUGUCAGCACAGAACACGACGCAGGGCUCGAACCCACGAAUCUCCAGAUCGUGACCUGAGCCGAUGUCGGUCGCUCAACCGACCGAGCCACCCCGGCGUCCCUCCAUGAUGGCAUUUCUGAUGCUAACUGGCUGAGCCUCUCAAAGCGUCUCUGGUUACCUGUUUCAUUCUGCAGGUCUCUCAUUAGGCUGUGAGUUCCUGGAGGUCAGGGGCAUGUCGACCUUCAUCUCCUGCCCUUAGCUCCUGGCUCGAGCCAGGGACCUGGCACACAGCAGGGACCCAAAGGACAUCUGCAGAAUGAAGCUUUUCCUCCUCUGGCUUCCUCUCCUGAAGGAGGCAGUGGCAACCCUUCGCAUCGCCGGAACUUUAUGUUGACCAAAAAUGGUUAGGGAGGCCCGGAGGGAAGAACGUUGUGUCUGAGUUCAAGUUCCAGUGCAACCCAUGGCUUGACAUUGGGGAAACCUCCCCGCCCUGGCUUGUCUCAGGUGCGUGUGUGUGUGUGCACGCACACGCGUGCGGGAGGGGGUGUGGUAAUACCACCCUCUUGGGCUGGAUGGGCCUGUCUCUUCCAGGAGCGGCUCUCCUUGGAAGGACCUCUGGAGUUGACUAUGCCAACAGCACCCAUCACGGGGCCCCGCACAGAGUUGGCGCUGAAACACAGUUUCACCCAGUGUGAAUUGCAUGGGAGGGCGUGGCUGGUCUUGUGGUUCCCUCGGCCAGGCUGAAAGACCCACGAUACCCCCGAGCAGGAGCAGACUCAGCCCGUGCAUGGGAGAGGCCGGAGCAAUGGAGGACUUCCAGGGGCCCCCGUAAACAAUGGCGGAUGGAGGCUGGUGGCUGACGUCCAGCUCCCCCGCCCCUCCGUGCCACGGUGCUGAGUCGAUCUCUGCAGUCUGUCGGGGAACCCCAGUCGGAGCGAGCCCCGGGUGCCCAUCGUGGUAGACUGCUUGUGCGUGUACCUGACAUCCGUCUCUUUCUUCCUUGCCUCACCUUCCCAGUCCCUGCGAUCAUUUCCCAAAUAAAGUCCCUGCACGUAAA